AGAGUCUCAAGCAGACUACCUGCUCAGCAUGGAGCUGAAAGUAAAAGCACCAUCAGCCAAGUGAACCACCCAGUCAUUUCUAAUGAGGAACCUGAAGAAAAAUGAGAACAAUGCAUGAGCUGAGAAUCAGAGUGCUCAUCUUCUAUCUCCUGGCCAUGCUUCCUGUACAACUGACUUUCCAGUUCCCAUAUUUCCUAAUGAUUUCAUCAAUGUGAGUUUUUUCUCCCAAUUAUGAUAAAGGCUAGAGCAGGGCACAAAUGUCUGGUACAAAAGACACCAGUUAGGAAAAAG
rnacentral:lncRNA from 1 species